GGCGAGAUAGCUCAGCUGGUUAGAGCGCAGCAUUCAUAAUGCUGAGGUCCAGGGUUCAAGCCCCUGUCUCGCUA
rnacentral:tRNA from 1 species